CGUAGGGUGCAAGCGUUAAUCGGAAUUACUGGGCGUAAAGCGUGCGCAGGCGGUUAUAUAAGACAGUUGUGAAAUCCCCGGGCUUAACCUGGGAACUGCAUCUGUGACUGUAUAGCUAGAGUACGGCAGAGGGGGAUGGAAUUCCGCGUGUAGCAGUGAAAUGCGUAGAUAUGCGGAGGAACACCGAUGGCGAAGGCAAUCCCCUGGGCCUGUACUGACGCUCAUGCACGAAAGCGUGGGGAGCAAACAGGA
rnacentral:rRNA from 1 species